AUCAGGACAGAGCCUGGCGCACUCACGGUUGUCAGCCGCUGGGCCAACCUACGCCAAGUCCCUCCACCUACACCCCCUGCGUUAGAGCUUUCAGCGAGUGCCAGGCAGCUUUGGCAAUGGGGAUUUUUGGUGAAAAAAAUGAUUAAAUAAAUGUGGCAGCUCUCACAGCUGCAAAUCAUUGAUUCAGCUCCACUUACAAAGGAGAGAGAGAGAGAAGAAAAAGAAAAUGAAAAAGAAGAGAAAAAGAAAAACAGCGAUUAGCCUGUAGCCCAAGGAUGGCUGCCUGUCAGUUCCCAUCAAGUCUUCCUCAUGCCUCUUCUCUUGGAACGUCGCAGAGGAAAAUGAGAAAAUAUUGAAAAGAAGAAAGGGAAAGAAUUCCUGGCAGUCCAAACACAACUAUAUUGACAUUUUCGUGUAGUUUUUAGCAGUCUUUUUACUUGACACGUGUUUCUUCCUUUGUUUCUCACGGAUGUAAUGAUGGGGUGUGGAUGCUGUGCCUUUCACAUAACAGAUAAUAGCAGUUAUUGCAGCCUUGCUGUGUGCCAGGUACUGUCUGCCACCACUCAGCGUCUCCAAGCCGGCCUGACAUCCACGCCUGCCCAGCAGCAGCAGCUACACAAACCUGGUUAAGUUCCUGUCUGCGUCUUUGGCAUCCCAUCAUGUGAAACAGCUGGAGAGAGUUUCACCCAGUUGAAGGGUAUUUGAGGAUGGUCUUCCUUCAAACAUGAGCUCCAUGACAUAAAAUUUUCGCCAUGGGAAGCCUCAGGUGGAGGGGGCCUCAGCCCAGAGAGAGCACUGUGACACGCCAUUCUGAAGAUUUCACUGAGUUGAGUUCAGACAUUUAUACUUUUAAAAGUUUGCCAUAAUUUUAUGGAUGGGUUCAAUAUAUUUCAAAAUAACCAUAAAUUUUUCCCGGUGAGUACAUAUAAGAAAUUAUACCUAACCUAAUGCCCUGUAAAGGCAUUAAUUCAAUGUCGGGAAGAAUUUUCUUAAAAAGAGAACUUUGAAGAGUCUAACGUGUCAGUCAAUGGGAUAAAUGUUUGAAAUCCAAAGAGGAGACCCGCAAUGGGGCUUCUUGGAGCAGGUGUCCAAAAGAGGCACACCUGUCCCAGGGAACCGGAGGGGGAGGGGGUGUCCCACCUGGGAACGUUGACAGGUGUUUUCCUUCCGAGCAAUGAAGCUGAAGGCACACAGAGGCAUCUGGGAUGUCUGCUGGGAGAGACAGCCCGUUGGAUUAAGCUGCCAUGGGUACAAAACCAACAGCGGUCUCUAACACGAGGCUUACCCCACAGUCCUGUGGACAGACCUCCAGGGUAUAACGAUGAAGCUAUUUCUCCCCCGGCAACUCCACGUGAUGUUGAUUCAGGUGAGACAUGAAGAUGUGUUUAUACACAUCCCAAUCCACGGGACAACAAAUGUGUGUAUAAAGACCUUUUUGUUUUUUACCAAGUUGAAAAUUAUUAGAGGUUUGUUUGAAUUAUUACAACUCUAAACAUUAAUUUUCCAAUAGCUUCCAUUAAACUUAAUGAUUCUCCUGAGCAAUUUCAGAUGCUGCAACCUGAAAUGAUAAGGAGGGCUAUACUCAUUUGGUUGAACAUUCUAAUACUCAAAGAGAAGUACGCCAGAUGGCACAGUUGGUACCGCAUGUGUCAUUUCCAAUAAUCCCCACAACGUCUUGUGAGGUGGACACCAUUAUUAUCCCUCCCUACUUUAUGGGUCUGGGUCAGGGUUAGGGUGAGGCAAGUGAGGUGCUCAGGGCACAAAA